rnacentral:tRNA from 1 species
GAGGCUGUAGCUCAGUGGUAGAGCAUGUGCUCAGCACACACAGGGUCCUGGGUUCAAGCCCCAGGACCCCCA